UACGUAGGUGACAAGCGUUGUCCGGAUUUACUGGGCGUAAAGAGCGCGCAGGCGGUCGAUCAAGUCGAGUGUGAAAGCCCCCGGCUCAACUGGGGAGGGUCAUUCGAUACUGAUCGACUCGAAGGCAGGAGAGGGUAGUGGAAUUCCCGGUGUAGUGGUGAAAUGCGUAGAUAUCGGGAGGAACACCAGUGGCGAAGGCGACUUCCUGGCCCGUUCUUGACGCUGAGGCGCGAAAGCUAGGGGAGCAAACGGG
rnacentral:rRNA from 1 species